rnacentral:rRNA from 1 species
AUACGGAGGAUCCGAGCGUUAUCCGGAUUUAUUGGGUUUAAAGGGAGCGUAGGUGGAUUGUUAAGUCAGUUGUGAAAGUUUGCGGCUCAACCGUAAAAUUGCAGUUGAAACUGGCAGUCUUGAGUACAGUAGAGGUGGGCGGAAUUCGUGGUGUAGCGGUGAAAUGCUUAGAUAUAACGAAGAACUCCGAUUGCGAAGGCAGCUCACUAGACUGUUACUGACACUGAUGCUCGAAAGUGUGGGUAUCAAACAGGAUUAGAUACCCUGGUAGUCCACACAGUAAACGAUGAAUACUCGCUGUUUGCGAUAUACAGUAAGCGGCCAAGCGAAAGCAUUAAGUAUUCCACCUGGGGAGUACGCCGGCAACGGUGAAACUCAAAGGAAUUGACGGGG